GCAGAGUCAGGCUGCAGAGCCCAAGCCAAAUCCCCUCGGUCUGGUUGAGCCGAGCGGUUCUAUUCCGCCGGUAGGGUUAGUGGCCGCCGGUCCGCUGCCGCCGCCGCCGGCCGACGCGUUCACCUUCCUCCUCCGCCCUCCCGUCCCUGAAGCUGCCCCGAGGUUCGAGCCGUCGCCGCCGCCGUCGGGUUCGCUGGAUGUGUCCCCCCUGACCCAGCGCGCCACUCGCCGCUCCUCCCCGUCAACCACCGCCGGCCGGAGCGCCUCCCCACUUCUCCACCGCCAUCUAGGCCCCGCUCGCCCCCUGCGCCGCCGCCCGGAGUCGUACCUGCAGCCGCCUCCCCGUUCCCCACGCAGUGCCACACAGACCUAGCAGCUAGCUACCUCUGAAGGAAAAAAAAACUUGUGGCCACCAUGCCAGCAGCACCGCCGCCGACGCUCCCUGAGGAGCUUGUCGAAGAGAUCCUCCUCCGCAUCCCGCCCGACGAGCCUGCUGGCCUCCUUCGCGCCUUCCUCGUCUGCAAGUCCUGGAGCCAGGCCGUCUCCCAUCGCGGAUUCCGGCGCCGCCUCCACGAUUCCCACCAGGCACCACCCGUGCUCGGGUUUCUCCAUGAUUGGGACGACGAGGACAUCCCCGACUUCAUCUCUGCCACUGUGUCGCCCUUCUCCCUUGCCGUCCCAGACAGCUGGCUCUGGCAGGCCGUUGACUGCCGCCACGGCCGCGCACUCUUCCUCUCUGAUGACCCUUAUGCUGAGGAACUCCUGGUGUGGGAGCCAAUCACGGGUUCCCAGCAGCGUGUGCCAGUGCCCGUGAUGUCUGAUAUCGGCCGCACAACCGCCGCAGUGUUCUGCGCAGCAGACGGGUGUGACCACUGCAACUGCCAUGGGGGCCCUUUCUGCGUUGUCUUCGUCUUCUCCGUCGACAGCGAAGAUCCUGAUGACGGGGAAUAUGACACGGCGGCAUGUGUAUACUCGUCAGAGACCGGUGCUUGGGGUGAGCUGACCUUGAUGCAUGGGGAGUUUUACAUGCAUUUCACAUAUUAUUCCAGUGUGCUUGUUGGGGAGUCUUUGCUCUACUUCAUGACUGAUGGUGGGUUGAUCCUGGAGUAUGACAUGGCAAUGCAUGGGCUGACUUGGUUCAAGGCACCAUACUCUUGCUACUCUAAGGGUAUACCCAGUUACAUUCUCAUGCCGGCAGAGGACGGUGGACUGGGACUCGUUGAAGAAUUGGAUCCGCAUCUGAAAUUGUGGUCAAGGGAGAUGACUGAUGCCCGAUGGAUACCCAGCCGGAUUAUCAACUUGGGAAGUUUGUCUCUAAAUGGUGCUCAAAUGGGUGCAACAUGUCCGGUCCACGUGUUGGGCUUUGCGGAGGGAGCAAACGUCAUUGUCGUGACCACUGCUACCGGCCUCUUCAGAGUUCAAAUCCAAUCAGAGGAGAUAACCAGGGUGUGCGAUGAUCAUGGAUAUGGUAACCUGAUUCCUGUUGUCGGCUUCUACACUCCUAUGCCUCGAGUGGCAGAAGCUGAAGCAUAAGCUGGUGGGUUGCAUUGAAAAUGGUGAAUCCUGGAGUGCAGCCUGAUCGACAGAGGUGGAGUUGGCCUUGAUCUAUCUGGUGUUGCAGAGCGUCGAUGGCCUUGUAAAGCUUUCAGUAAAAGCUGGGCUUUGGGGUCUUCCUGUAAAAUACACCAACUGUCAUUUCAUUUUGUUUUCUCAGCCAUGAAUACACCCAUCUGGACACUCACUAGUCAGAAAUAUUAUAUGCUCUUAUCAAGUGCGCAAUCCAGGAAUGGGCAGUCUAUACAAGUUGUGCUGCAGCUUAAUAGUAAUGUUUACGUAUCUGAACAGCAGCCGGUACGCCAGGUUCGUCAGAGUUAACAGGCUAGGUAGAUGAGGCAGCAGCUGUAGCACUUGAACGUUUUCUUCUCAGGUUCUUGCUUUGCUAGAACUGAACUGCAUUUUAAUAAUUAAGUUUCAGCCUUGUAAGUAAGUCGACAGCAGGGAGAGUGGAUGCACUGAUCAGCAUACAGCAAACAUUCAUGAUCUUCCAAGGUCGCCGUCGUCGUCAUCUCGCAUGUAGGCAAGAGGGAACGAAAACAGAGGAGGCCCUGUUUUGAAUCUUGGACCUUCAGGGUUCAGGUUCAGGUUCGUCAAGAGGCUGACGCACACCUGCAAAGAAACAUUUAUAAAGUCGUGAAUCACGACCACUGGAUGAAAUUAAUUGCCUUUGAAAUCGUUGACCAUGAAGCACUUCCUCGAGACUCAUUGCGUGUUA